AAAAAAGAAGGGAUUAGACUAUGUAAUUAUAAUUAUAAAAUAAUUGGAGAAGACUUCUAAAGUUUGAUUUUAGUUUAAUAUUUCUUUAUUAGGAUAAUUUAUAUGUAUGUUGUUAUAAAUUAAAAUUUAACAGUAAAUAAUAUUAUGUUGUAUAUAAAUAUUUUACAUAGUUAUUUUUGUACUUCCGGCUAAGAUUGUGCCAGCAGCUGCGGUUAUACGAUCGGGGGGAAAGAAAGUGUUCGGGGGAUACAAGGUUUGAAUAUAGAUGGUUUUAUAUAUGUUAUUUGUCGGUAAAAUUACAAUUAUAUAUGUUUUUCUUUGAAUUAUUAGGACGUUUGUUUGAAAUUAUUAGUUAGUGACUAGGAUUAGAUACCCUAUUAAUUAUAUUGUUAAGGCUUGAAUAGUAUUAGGGUUCUUGAAACUUAAAGAAUUUGGCGGUAUUUUAGUCUAUUUAGAGGAAUUUGUUCUGUAAUCGAUAGUACACGAGUUAUUUGACUUUUUUUUGUUUUAUUCAAUUUACAUAUCGCCGUCGGUAGAAGAUUUUUGAGAAUAUUUUCGUGGAUUUGUUCAAAAGUACGCCAGGUCAAGGUGUAGUUUAUAAAAGAGUAUGAAAUGAGUUACAAUAGAGGGGUUUAGUAUGAAUUGUUGGAGGGAGAUUGACAUGAAGGUGGAUUUAAUUGUAAGUGUAUAUUAGUUAGUUAAAGUGAAAAGUGCUCUAAAAUAUGUACACAUCGCCCGUCGCUCUCAGGUUUGGGAUAAGUCGUAACAUAGUGGAUGUAUCGGAAGAUGCCUCUGGAUUU
rnacentral:ncRNA from 1 species